UCUGGUGUGUCUGAUACAUGAAAUAAAUGGAUAAACCUUAAAAAAAAAGAAAAAAGAAAAGAAAAAAAAAGGCCAAAGUAUUUAACCUUAUGGGUUACCAACGCCAUGUUAUAGGUAUCACCUAGAACAGAACACUCUGACAUGGAAUCCUCCUAAAGUGAUGCCAUCAGAAGGAACAUACUGUGUAAUACCCUCCUCCAAAUGUUUACUCUGAACCUCACAAAAAGAGAAUAAUCACAUGAAUUCACAUGUUCAGUCUAUGGAACAACCAAUCUUGAGCAAAGACCUUGAGAGAUUCAAAUCAAAGGAAGCCACACAAAUGACAACUAAACAAAGAGAAGAAAUAUAUGCUAUAAAAGAUGCUGCUGGUUCCUACCACAAAGAAAAGAUGGGGAUUCUGAUCUCUCUGCCUCUGUACAUCCUGAGUGCUGAGAUUAUAGGCAUAACUAUUAUCCCCUAAUUAUACAUCUGUGCAGAAACUCUCAAAAUGGUGCUUGCCUGGACUUUCUCCUGGCUCCUGUUUCUGCUUCCUGACUAAAACUUGAUGCUUCCCCUGUGGCCCAUAUGGUACAGUAUGCAUCCUCUGGGAAAUAUGAGCUACACAAGAAAAGAAUAAGUGAUAUUGCAAAAAAUAUCACACGUAUAAACAGCACUGCUUAGUACAAUGUUCUGUUACUCUGAAGACAACAUAGACAAGACUGACACACUGAGAAGACCAAGAUUAAGUGGAUUGUAAUACAUACACUCAUCAACUAAAAUUCCAAAAUAGAAGUAAAUCUUGCUGCUACUGCA